ensembl:lncRNA
GACGGGGGAGCCUGGUGGGCUGCCAUCUCUGGGGUCGCACAGAGUCGGACACGACUGAAGCGACUUAGCAGCAGCAGGUCUUUAUAGAAGCAAUCGAGUUAAAAUGAGGUCCUUUUGGGUGGGCUCUAACCCAAUAUGUUGUUGUUUUAGAUGCAAGUUGUGUCUGAUUCUUUUGUGACUCCAUGGACUAUAUCCCACAGAGGAGCCUGGCAGUCUACUGUCCGUGGAUUCACAAAAGAAUCAGCCAUGACUUAGUGACUAAACAACAGCAACAAUAAUUGCAAAAUAAGCAGACUUCCAGGAAAAAAUCUUCUCCCCUGCCCCCCUCACAUGUCCCUCUCCAGCUAACUCAAGGGCUGCUUGGCAGAAACCUAAGCCUCCUUCUUUGGGCCAUCGAUCUCCAUACUGAGGUUUGCAUGCCUAUAGCUGAGCUGUGCAUUCACUCACCUGAUAACAAAUGGUGAUAUUUUUCCUAGGUUCACAUGAAUACAAACAACCCAGCUGUGCAAAGAUCAGCGCAUGUUGUCUGUUGUGGUCAAUGAGCUGCAAGUUAUUGUUUGCAGCAGGGCACAGGAAGAAGACGGCAGCUUUUCUUAAAUCAGAAUCAUUUUUAUAUGAAAGUGGCAAAGAUCAAAAGUCAUGGCAGAGGAGGUUGGUAAUGAAAAUAAAUCUGUAACCAAUUAGAGUCUGUGUUGCAGUUAUUGAGAUCGUGAAGUUUGCCGGUUAUAGAGAGAGGAUCCAGAACCCCAAUCAUGAUGGGCUUUUGAGCAGGGCACUGCCUUAGGCAAAAAUUAAGUUAAUAUUGAUGGAGAUUAUUUAUUCAUUAAAUGGCAACAUAGUGCCUGACAUUGCCCCCAGGGCUUAAAACCUAAGUUACACACAUACACAGACAGGCAAAUUGCCUCCCCACUGGUGGUCAUUGCUUGUUUGGUGGCCGUUCUCAAGGAAGUCCCUGGUCUUGAGUCCAGAUGUAAAUCAGACUUCUGUGGACUCAAGCUGGUUUGUGAUACCAAGGCCAAAUCCAAUUCUACUUUUUAAAACUGAGAAAAGAAAAAAAUGAAAAAAAUGUGUUCCUUUUCCCCUUGCCUUUAAGAAUCACGUGAUCAUAGCCAUGUAAAUUAUGUACCUUUCAGUGAAGCCUUAUUUCAGGCCCUAGUAGAUUAUGG